UCGGUGGAGAUGUCUAUCGGGAUGGCGAGUGGAGUGCCAUAAAGGCCCUCAGUCUUUGACUCGACGAAUUUUCUGCUAUCGAGUUUCUUUCAUGUGAUCUGUUUCGUAAGAUGAACCCUGUUCGCAAUCAUCCCUUGCGCCUCCUGGAGUUCUGUUUUCUCACCCUGCUCUUCCUCUUGACUCGCGGUUCCAGCGCUUGUGUCCCUCUCUUGAGCGCAUGCACCAAUGAUCGGGAGUGCUGUAAGUACCCUGAUGUCGUCUGCCGUGCGGGGACUUGUUACAUUCGUGUGCAUUCGUGUGACCAGAGGUACAACGAUGCUAUGGAAAGCGUGGUCUAUCGUAGUAACAAAGAAUGGUUCUUCCGGCAAAGGCUUAUAAAAGCCAUUCAGAAGGACCUUACCCGUGGAUACAGAGAAAAUUCAACGCGUGCGAUCAGUCUAGGGAGUGUUGCGACCACCCGCGGAUAGUCUGUCGAGCCAAUUUGUGUGUGCAGCCAAGAGCAGUUAAUUGGAAACUGGAGAAUAUAGCCGCCAAAUCCAUGGAAACAUUAGUUAAUAAUAAUAAUUUACGAGAAUCGAUAAAAAAGAAUCACGAAGAAUACGAUCCUAAAUAAUUUAAGAGUGGAGAGCAUGUGUUCUUGCCGGGGAAUGUUGCGACCACCCUAAAGUAGUAUGUCGUGCAGGCACUUGUUAUACGCCUCGCGGAAAAAUGGAUAAAUUUAUCAACGCAUUGUUAGAGGACUACGUCCGAAAUAAAAAGGUCGUGGAGCAACUCCGCCAUGAGAUUGCAGAAGCAAUGGCAGCCUAUGAUAUUGGAAAACAUAUCAAUAUAACAAAUGCGUCUUCCAUUUUCAAUGUUGUGACAACCCUAAUGUUCUAUGUCGGGCGGGCACUUGUUUUUACGCAAUUACUGUCGUAAACACAAGGGGAGCCAAUGAGAUCAUAGAAAGAAUUAUCCAACAGAAAAAGAAGUAAAUGUGUCCGUUCACCAAUCGCUUAAUUGGGCAAAAGUCCAUUUUCCUCCUUUUAAAAAAUGAAAAAUAAGGACUGCCGGUUGAGUGCAAGCUGUUGCAUGUUCCCAUUCUGGAAAUGCGUGGACGGUGCUUGCAACAGAGACAAUAGUGAACAUUACUCCAGCCAUGAGUUUGAAUGGAUGGAAAGUUGGAGGGACCUCCUGGACCGAAAAUCGCUCCGCAAAUGGUUCGCAGACAAAAAUAAAAACCAAACCAAUGUGCCAUACAGUUGAUCAGUCAUUUUAUACUGUUUAGUUUUACUACAGUGUCCAUCUUCCACUUAUAUUUGUUAGAAUGUAUUUAUUCAAAUCUGAACAGUAUAAAAAGUAGUAUGCAGAAGAGGACACAGAGUCAAUUUGACGUAUUUCUGUCAAACGGAACUAUGUACAUUAAGACAUGAGGCCUAAGACUCAUAAGAAUAUAUGCAUUACAGGGCUCAUGCCAUAAUGCACAUAGUUCCGUUUGGCAGAAAUACGUCCAAUUUCACACGAAAAUUCAAUUUUUUAAUCCCUUGCGACUUGCCUCUUCAGCUUUUAACCUCUCGACAAAUUGUCCGUCUACUAAUUGGAUUACAUUUUGCAAUAAGGAGCCACUAUCUCUAACUCUUCCAUUGCACCUUCCUGCAUAGGGAAACUAAUGGCAUAUAUGUUGUUUCUAAAAUGGGCCAGAAUUAGUAGUUCCAUAUUGCAGAAUGUGAUCCAAUUAUGAGUUCCUAUUACAUGCAUUUACGAUGAAAGGAACCAUGUCGCAAGGUAAACCUUGUGGAUAUAGUUCCUUUUAGCAUUAAUACGUUCAUUCAUGCUUACAUUUUGGAUAACCUCGAUCGAGACGAGGAAGUCAAAGAGGAGAAACUCGGUUGGAGAAGAUGGCUAAGAAUGGAUGGUGCUGUCUUUUGUAAUAUAAGUUUUGAUUUACCGAGCGCAUCGUUCCGCGCUGGAGAGUGGAAAUGGCCGGCGAAACAGAAACUUUUAUAACGAUAACGCUUUGAAAACUAUUAGUUCCGAGCUAUGCGCCUCGUUGAAUAUCCUGUAAUAUGCGUAUUUGUUUUUACUUGUAUUCAAACGCUUGAGGCUGAAUUUCAAAAUCCAACGUCAAACUAUUCUUGAAAAUGAAGUUGAGUUCCUUGGCAGUUUAGACUGUGACUCAGAAGUUUUUGGAAGUCAAUCUAGUUUUAGUUAUAUUUUAUAAUACAGUAGUAAGUUUUUUCAGCCAGAAAUAAUUACUUAUUCGCAAGAAAAAAAUCUUCAAAAUCCGCUCACUCUCAAAGAUUUGACUUGAAAAAAUAUUUUUUUUUUACAUUCUGGUAACGCUCAUGUUCGGAUUAGCUGAAAUUUUAAGUUCAAUGGUACUUUUAAGAAUCCUACCAGGAAGGAGAAACCGAGAGAAGCUUUGCAAGGAAUACAUUUUAAAUAUUAGCUCCAAGUUACUUAUGUGCAUUAUCCCCUAACUACACCUGAAAACAGCAUUGGAGCCUUUAAAGUUACCUUGGAAUAUCGAUUUUCAUUUGACUUGAUCAAUGAAUACUACGCAAACAUGUUAAAAAUCAAUUUAUUCCAUCAAAAUUCAGGGGCUGUGUAUUUGAACGUGGUUUCGGUAAAAAAAAUAUCCCAAAAAUUCUCUUUCAUCUAAAUUAUUGACCCUUGAAAUCUUUUUAUUUGAUAUUAUGAUUCACUCUCUAUUCUGACAGAGACGAUUUCUGACCGGAAAUUUGAAGACAUCAUAAUUAACGAGAAAGAGUUAUAGAGGUUGAGCACAUUGUUAUUUCGCCUUCAGUUUUCGGGGUAGGCCAGGAAGCAUUCUCAUUGUAGCAAUUGUUACUUACAAUUAGUUUAGGAUUUUUUCCUUGUAUUAUGUGCAGACCUUGUGUUGCAGUAAAUUAUGUUAAACUCUUCUUUAUAAUUUUGAUGCUACCUCUGUUUUCCUACUCAAUCCUCUAAUUAUUGAUAGCAAAUACAAUCAUUAAAAAAACAAAA